CNCUAACAGCCUGAGAGAAAAGGACACUGC
rnacentral:piRNA from 1 species